rnacentral:rRNA from 1 species
UACGUAGGGUGCAAGCGUUGUCCGGAAUUAUUGGGCGUAAAGAGCUCGUAGGCGGUCUGUCGCGUCUGCUGUGAAAACUCGGGGCUUAACCCCGGGCCUGCAAUGGGUACGGGCAGACUAGAGUGCGGUAGGGGAGACUGGAAUUCCUGGUGUAGCGGUGAAAUGCGCAGAUAUCAGGAGGAACACCGGUGGCGAAGGCGGCGACCUGGGUAGAUACUGACGCUGAGGUGCGAAAGCGUGGGGAGCAAACAGG